GAUGAAGAACGUAGUGAAAUGCGAUACUUGGUGUGAAUUGCAGAAUCCCGCGAAUCAUCGAGUUUUUGAACGCAAGUUGCGCCCGAAGCCAUUCGGCCGAGGACACGUCUGCCUGGGUGUCACGCAUCGUUGCCCCCCCCAAACUUCGGUUCGGGCGGGGCAGAAGUUGGCCUCCCGUGCGUGCCUGCGCGUGCGGUUAGCCCAAAAGCGAGUCUUCGGCGACGAGCGCCACGAAAAUCGGUGGUUUUUUUGCCCUCGUUCCUCGUCGUGCGUGCCCCGUCGCCCGAACGCGCUCUUGCGACCUUCACGCGUCGUCUCGGUGGCGCUCCCAACGCGACCCCAGGUCAGGCGGGACUACCCGCUGAGUUUAAGCAUAUCAAUAAGCGGAGGA
rnacentral:misc_RNA from 1 species